UAGGAAGGCAGCAGUGGGGAAUAUUGCACAAUGGGCGAAAGCCUGAUGCAGCUAUGCCGCGUGUAUGAAGAAGGCCUUAGGGUUGUAAAGUACUUUCAUCGGGGAGGAAAAAACAAAACUAAUAAUUUUAUUUCUUGACGUUACCCGAAAAAGAAGCACCGGCUAACUCCGUGCCAGCAGCCGCGGUAAUACGGAGGGUGCUAGCGUUAAUCAGAAUUACUGGGCGUAAAGAGCACGUAGGUGGUUUUUUUAAGUCAGAUGUGAAAUCCCUGGGCUUAACCUGGAACUGCAUUUUGAAACUGAAAUACUAGAGUAUCGUAGAGGGAGGUAGAAUUCUAGGUGUAGCGGUGAAAUGCGUAGAUAUCUGGAGGAAUACCUGUGGCGAAAGCGGCCUCCUAAACGAAUACUGACACUGAGGUGCGAAAGCGUGGGGAGCAAACGAGGAUUAGAUACC
rnacentral:rRNA from 1 species